rnacentral:lncRNA from 1 species
GAGGCAUAUCUUGACUCAGUAAUGGACAGUGCUAUGGAGGAGUUUAGGCUGUUUGAAGAGGAGCUAGAGCGAACAUCCAAGGCUGAAUAUGAUAGCCUAGUUCAAACUGCAGAUAAUGCAAGGAAGAUGGGGAAGUUGAUGGAGAAAGCAGCCACUAUUGCUUCCAAGAAGUAUAUUGAAGCUGCAAUGAAUUCAGCUACUUCUACAAUGAAGAUGGCAUGGAAGGGGAUUUCCUCUAAAAAAGUUCAUCCUUCUUGAGAUGGGGCUUUCCCCUUUGUGAUGAUAUUAUGAA